ensembl:lncRNA
AAAUUGCUUAUCUUGUGUGAGCCUGUUUUCUUACCAAUGAAAACUAUGUUAAAGAUAUUUUUGGGUAUUUAUUGAACCCAGAUCUCCUGCAUUGCAGGCAGAUUCUUUACCGUCUGAGCCACCAGGGAUUCCCUUGGGUGUUUAGUGCUAAAUAAUAGAGAUAAUGUAUGUAAAACACUUUGUAUUGCAGUGGGGCUAUGUAGACACUCAGUAGGGAUAGCUUUUGUUCUUAUUUUAAAUUGUGUUUUUUGGAACAUAUCCCAGCUUCUUCACUAGAACUGUAUUCUCUCAAGUGCCUAGCAUGCAGCACAUGCUAAAUUAGUGGGUUGUUGGAUCAAUAACUGGAUAAACAAACUAAUAGAUCAAUGCCAAUUAAUAUGAACUACAGAACAUAUGUGCAUGGAACGCUGCUGUCUGGCAAAGUACAGGUUUACCCUGUUAUGUCAAGCGAGGCUAGUGUUAUCAGAAUCACCCCACUCCAAAUUCCAGAAGGCCCAUUCCAGAUCCAGGUUGGUACUGAAGCCUUCUGAGGUUAGACUUCAUGUAGGGGCUCCCUAGAAAACUCAGUCUAUUGUAAAAUAGAGGGAAACCUCAUUGCUCCUGAGUCAAUUCCUAGGCAGGUUAAUAAGAAGUCCGGGGUCCCCAAGGAGGAGAAAGGGGUCUGGGGCUCUUGAGGAGGAGAUAGGGGUCUGGAAUUCUUAAGGAGGAGAAAAGGACAACCUUUCCAUGAGAGCAGCGUCCAGUCCUGGGGUGUGUGUGUAUGUAUGUGUGUGUCUAUAUGUAUGUAUGUGUAUGUAUGUAUGUGUGUGUAUGUCUGUGUAUGUCUGUAUCCGUGUCUAUCUAUGUAUGUGUGUGUGUCUAUGUUUGUGUAUAUGUGUGUGUCUCUGUGUGUGUAUGUCUUUUUUUUUCUCUGCAUUCCUUAGUCUUAGUCACAUAAGACGUUUUUUUUUUUCUUUAAGCCCGGAGCUGAUGAUUACACAACAAAACAGCUCAGCUUAAACUCUGUACUAAGGAUUAUAUAACAACAAUGUAUCCUGCUUGAGGACAGUUUCUCCUUCUUGAAAACCUUCUGACUAAUCCUGUUAUCUUAAAAUGUAUAUUAUGGAAGUGGGUCUGGUAAGAUCUUUCUAUUGUUAGUUCUAAUCCUGUCAUCUAAAAUGUAAAUUGUGAGAGUGGGUCUAGUAAGAUCUUUACAACCUUGAGACAUUCUUUGGAUUUAUUGCAAUAACCAAUUAAAAAAAGUAUUUAGCUUGCUUGCUAAGACUAGCAAGGGGGGCACUCUCUGUCCCCCUUCUGAUGUCUAUGUCAGAAGCUUUCUCUGUCCUUUUUAUACUUUAAUAAAACUGCUACAGAAAAGCUCUUGAGUGAUCCUGAUCCCUGGUCCCAGAGCUAAAUCUUCGGAGAUCACAAAUCCGACAUCGUUCACUGUUAGCUAUCACUCCCUAAUUUGAUCAUGACUUGAAAAUAACAAAAGCAAACUCUCCUGUAUCAGAAAGGAUUUAUUAUGCAUCGUGUUACCAGCACAUUUACAGUAACUAGGAAGUGAAUUCCUGGAAAAAAAGAGCCCACUGCCAAGAUCACAUUUGAGUCCAUGCUCCCUUGGAUGUAAAGGAUGAUAGCACUGUCAUCAUGAGAGCACUUCCCAGACCUGGGGUGUGUGUGUAUGUAUGUGUGUGUCUAUGUGUGUGUAUGUGUGUGUCUGUGUAUGUAUGUGUGUGUGUGUGCGUGUCUGUGUGUGUCUCUGUGUGUAUGUGUGUGUCUGUGUGUAUGUAGUUUUCGUGUGUAUGUAGUUUUCAUGUGUAUUUGUGUCUGUGUGAGUAUACAUGUGUGUGCCUGUAUGUCUGUGUGUGUAUUUGUGUGUGUGUGUGUCUGUGUUUAUGUGUAUCUGCGUCUGUGUAUGUAUGUGUAUUUGUGUGUGUUGUGUAUGUGCCUGUAUGUGUGGGUCUCUGUGUGUGUGUGUCUAUGUAUGUGUCUAUUUGUAUGUCUGUGUGGGUAUGUUUCUGCGUGUGUCUGUGUGUGUGAGAUUUCUCAUGGUCACAACACCCCGAGGAGCUGGAUCUGAUUUUCCCGUUUCCCUGGAGGAACUGGAGCCUGGGUGUGGGCCACGUCCCUGAGGGGCGCCAUCACGCCUGGUCAUCCUCCGAUGGCGCCUCCCUUGUUCAGAAACAGGUUGGAGCCUCUGCAGGCAGAACCGUGGGUGCAGAGCCCUGGAGACAGCAGUCACCCGUGGAAGGGACUGGACCACUGGUCCCGGCAGAGCUUUGACCUGAACCUGCCGUCGGGCUCCAACCACAUCUGGAAUUCAGGAUCCAGCUGCAACCCAGUCUCUCCUCUUUCACCCACAAUCGGCGCUUCACGUUCAAACAGAAAACUUCCUAGCCAGGCGCAGGAGGAUGAAGCGGACAACCAGAUACAGAAUUUCCAGAUAAACAAAUGAUAAAAAAAAAAGCUUAAUAUUCUCUUGCUGGUAAAUGUUUAAUUACCCCAUAGUAUUUUGUGAUGCAGGUAGUCCCCUCAGGGCAUGAAUUUUCAAGGACACAGACUGAGUCAGCUGUUUAUAUGGCAUUUUCCCUGCACGUGCAUCUUUAUGACAGUCUUCUGUUGUUAAGUUUCUUAAAUUGUGGAAACUGUAUUGCUGACGACUGAGUCUGUGAUGUCUGCUGACCAGUGUCUGAGGCCUGCGCAGAGGGCCACAUGGGAAGAAACUUAACGGAGUGUGUUCCAUGGAAGGAAAGCGUCUCUAUUCAGCAUUUCGGUUUUGGAUGUGUGUCUGUUCCCAUGACAGGUCAGCCCUGAUGCGUCACCCUAAACUGACGCCUGUCCUCUCAUUUUUAUACAAACCAGUGCUUUCGGCUGUCUGUGUUCGGACAGGAACUUGAAAAAGGAGGCAACGCUUCAGAAUCGUCUGAGAGAACAAACACAGGCAAAAAAAGUGGAAUCAGGCUCUGCACAUUCCGUAUCGAAAAAUCGCUAUAGCUUGAACUUCAGUAGAAGACUCCAGAAGGUGAACAACCAGUUCAGGGAACAGGGUGAAGACAUGGACCCAGGCUUUGGGUGGACUCAUACCGGUCUGCAUCACCGCAGAGUAACUACCUGGGAUGGAACCACAGGCAAGUCUGAGAAGGGUGGACCCUUGAAAGCACAUCGAUGGCAGAGUCUUCCUGCUGCUAACAGACGGACAUUAUCCAGGUGGAUGAAGAUCGAGCUGGAUCCAGCCCUGAAGGUUUACAACUCCAUCCUCGUGUUCAGGACCUCCCAGGAGCUCAAUGGGGAGGAUGCCAUCUUAGACCAGGAGGCCAUGGGGGGAUGCUGUACCUGAGGGACCAUGGCCAUCGCCGUGCCUUGUUCUUUCAGCAGGAACCUCAGCCGCAGGAACUUGAUUUCGGUGUUCCCAUGGACAUGCCCAAGUAUGAACGGGACCUUGUAAAGCAGCCGUGGCUUUUACGUUUGGAAGAUUGGAUGGCUGAUCCAGCGCCAGUGAUGCCGAAGCCCCCAGGCCCAGCAGGACCCUGACCGUCACCACCGUGGCUCUGAUGCGUGACAGGAACAGACUCAAGAAGCCCACGGGAUGCAUCUUUAUCCUGGUCCCUCACCGUCCAAGAAGCCGCUUCUCAUUUUGCAAGGAUGAAACUCUCUAGGGUGGGAUAUGAGCAACAUGGUUUUCAGACACACACUGUUAAUGUUUUCGUCAGCUCAGCAUCUGAGCUUGGCUGUGAUCUGCCCUCUGGGUGCAGGGAGUCUAAGAGGCAGAGGCCUGGUGCUUUAAUGACUUCAUGUGAGAUGUGUGUGCUUUACUCAGGAAACUGCGGAUCAGUAAUAAGCACACGUUUUCAUGAUCCAUUAAUUCUUAUCUAGGUUCCACGAACCAUUUCUCAGCUGUGCCGCCGGGUCUCCGGGAGCAUGCCCGGGUCCCAUGAGAACAGCCAGCAGGAUACUUGGCAGAAACUAGGAGGACCCUCCUGAGGACUCUCUGCCUGUGGUGCCCUUACUGCCGGGGACCCAAGUCCUGACACAAACGCCCCCCAUCCACAUCCUCACAGCUUCCACUCUGGGGGCCACCUGGGAGGCUGACAUCCCACGGGCCACCUGCCUGUCAGGAGGAGCUGUGUUCACCAGGGCCCUGGGUACCUGUCUACAGACAGAGGCUUCAUCAAGGGAAGAGGUCUAGAGCUGGGUGUCUAGUACUCGUUUAAACAAGUCUUUUGUUAUGAGCAAGGGUUUGUUUUGUGUAAGUGACUAUAUUUGAGACUGAAGCUAUGCAAAGUCAGCCUCACAGUUUUGAAAGACAAGCACCUCCUUUCUUAUACCAAACAGUAAGAGCUACCAACGCCCCGUGGAAUGGAGGCGCCAUUGUUUUGGUUGG